rfam:Dipodomys ordii contig_61510, whole genome shotgun sequence.
GGCCCUAUGGCUCAGUUGGUUAAAGCGCCUGUCUCGUAAACAGGAGAUCCUGGGUUCGACUCCCAGUAGGGCCU